rnacentral:rRNA from 1 species
GCACAAGCGGUGGAGCAUGUGGUUUAAUUCGACGCAACGCGAAGAACCUUACCAGGGCUUGACAUCCCCUGACCGCGUAUGAAAGUACGUUUUCACCCUCGGGUGACAGGGAGACAGGUGGUGCAUGGUUGUCGUCAGCUCGUGUCGUGAGAUGUUGGGUUAAGUCCCGCAACGAGCGCAACCCCUACGUUUAGUUGCUAACGCGUGAAGGCGAGCACUCUAGACGAACUGCCGUUGACAAAACGGAGGAAGGUGGGAUGACGUCAAAUCAUCAUGCCCCUUAUGUUCUGGGCUACACACGUGCUACAAUGGCCGGUACAGACGGAGGCGAAGCCGCGAGGCGGAGCAAAUCCGAAAAAGCCGGUCUCAGUUCGGAUUGCAGGCUGCAAUUCGCCUGCAUGAAGUCGGAAUCGCUAGUAAUCGCAGGUCAGCAUACUGCGGUGAAUACGUUCCCGGGCCUU